rnacentral:lncRNA from 1 species
CCGCCGAUGAAGGGAAGGGUGAGUUGUGAUAGAAGCCAGAUUCUCCAUCUCAGAGGCGGAGCAAGAAAUGCUAUCAGCUCCUUCAGACGCUGCCAGACUGUUUACCUACUUCCCUCAAAUCAGUGGGGGUAUAAGCACUAUAAGAGGUAUGUGCCACCACUGUGAGGGGUCCUGGGAUCUCGCCUGCGGUCCCAUUGGCUGCUCAUGUUCUACCUUCUGAUGGAUCACAGGGUGAUCCAGCAGUGGAGGAACCUCCUCCUCAGCAUCAGACUGAAUCGGAGUGUCCCGCCAGGAGGAUGGGCUCAAGGCCGGGCUGACAGCUGUUGCUAAAUCCUGUUCCUGGCUAUUUAUCUGGGCCUCUAAGUGCCCUGCUUGCACCUGGAGGUCCCCCACCCCCAGGUCCUGCUCCAAGCUGUGCACUUGGGCCCCCAGGUGCUCAGCUUGUCCUGGGAGGUCCCUUACCUGUGGAACUGAGCAUGUACUUCCUGCAGUGCUGUCAGAAACGCCCAUCCGACGCUGCCAGCAAAGGUGCAUUCCUUCUUGGUGCUGUGUGCUCGCACACUUGCAGGAGACCUCUCCACUGCCUCCCGCGUUUCCACUGGGGCUCAUCCAAGCAGCACCGCUGCCCCUGGGUACAGCCCGUGCUGCAGCCACAUAGCUGACCCAGGAGCCCUCAGGGGCCAAAGACCUACUCACUUCAUCCUGCCAACGUCGCAAUUGUCAGUUGCAGAAAUAAACACCCUUGUUCCAAGUCUGUCUGCAUCUGGUUAUUGGACCACGAGAACAAGCAGCUGGACCUCAUUCUGUGCAGGAAAAUGAGCACAUAGCAAGAAGGUGGCUGUCUACAAGCCAGGAAUAGAGCCCUUUCCAGAAUUCGAUCAUGCUGCCACUCUGAUCUUGGACUUCUAGCCUCCAAAACUGUGAAAAAUAAAUUUCUG